rnacentral:rRNA from 1 species
CCUACGGGUGGCAGCAGUGAGGAAUAUUGGUCAAUGGACGAAAGUCUGAACCAGCCAAGCCGCGUGAAGGAUGACGGCUCUAUGAGUUGUAAACUGCUUUUGUAUGGGAGUAAAAUGUUCCACGUGUGGGUUUUUGUAAGUACCGUAUGAAUAAGGAUCGGCUAACUCCGUGCCAGCAGCCGCGGUAAUACGGAGGAUCCGAGCGUUAUCCGGAUUUAUUGGGUUUAAAGGGUGCGUAGGUGGAUUGUUAAGUCAGUUGUGAAAGUUUGCGGCUCAACAGUAGAAUUGCAGUUGAAACUGGCAGGCUGGAGUACAGUAGAGGUAGGCGGAAUGCGUAGUGUAGCGGUGAAAUGCUUAGAUAUCACGCAGAACACCGAUUGCGAAGGCAGCUUACUGGACUGCAACUGACACUGAGGCUCGAAAGCGUGGGGAUCAAACAGGAUUAGAUACCCGUGUAGUC